rnacentral:misc_RNA from 1 species
GCGAAGCAACGCCCCCCGGAGGUUGUGCUGGCGCUCUCUGCGCACGUGCACGCACCCGUCGGGUUGUCCGCCGUCCCACACCUGUGCACACGUCCCGUCGGACUCGGAGGGGGGGCCUGCGUGCCCCUCGCCCGUUCCGGCGCGUUCACAUCAGCCUCGUUGUACGUUCGAAAGCCACUGCGCUUGCGCAACCUAAAAA